rnacentral:rRNA from 1 species
GACGAACGCUGGCGGCGUGCCUAAUACAUGCAAGUUGAGCGCUGAAGGUUGGUACUUGUACCAACUGGAUGAGCAGCGAACGGGUGAGUAACGCGUGGGUAAUCUGCCUUUGAGCGGGGGACAACAUUUGGAAACGAAUGCUAAUACCGCAUAAAAACUUUAAACACAAGUUUUAAGUUUGAAAGAUGCAAUUGCAUCACUCAAUGAUGAUCCCGCGUUGUAUUAGCUAGUUGGUGAGGUAAAGGCUCACCAAGGCGAUGAUACAUAGCCGACCUGAGAGGGUGAUCGCCAACAUGGGACUGGGACACGGGCCAAAACCCUUCCGGAGGGAGCAGGAGGGGAUCUUCGGGCAUGGGGGGAAGUCUUACCGAGCAACGGCGGGGGGGGGAAGGAGGUUCUCGGAUCGGAAAAACCCGUUGGUAGAGAAGAAAGAUGGUUAGAGUGGAAAGCUCAUCAAGUGACGGUAACUAACCAGAAAGCGACGGCUAACUACGUG